GACGAACGCUGGCGGCGUGCCUAAUACAUGCAAGUCGAACGCAUUUUCUUUCACCGUAGCUUGCUACACCGAAAGAAAAUGAGUGGCGAACGGGUGAGUAACACGUGGGUAACCUGCCCAUCAGCGGGGGAUAACACUUGGAAACAGGUGCUAAUACCGCAUAAUUCCAUUUACCGCAUGGUAGAUGGGUGAAAGGCGCUUUUGCGUCACUGAUGGAUGGACCCGCGGUGCAUUAGCUAGUUGGUGGGGUAACGGCCUACCAAGGCUGCGAUGCAUAGCCGACCUGAGAGGGUGAUCGGCCACACUGGGACUGAGACACGGCCCAGACUCCUACGGGAGGCAGCAGUAGGGAAUCUUCGGCAAUGGACGCAAGUCUGACCGAGCAACGCCGCGGGAGUGAAGAAGGGUUUCGGAUCGUAAAACUCUGUUGUUAGAGAAGAACAAGGAUGAGAGUGGAAAGUUCAUCCCUUGACGGUAUCUAACCAGAAAGCCACGGCUAACUACGUG
rnacentral:rRNA from 1 species